rnacentral:rRNA from 1 species
GAUGAACGCUAGCGGGAGGCCUAACACAUGCAAGCCGAGCGGUAUUGUUUCUUCGGAAAUGAGAGAGCGGCGUACGGGUGCGUAACACGUGUGCAACCUGCCUUUAUCUGGGGGAUAGCCUUUCGAAAGGAAGAUUAAUACUCCAUAAUAUAUUGAACGGCAUCGUUUAAUAUUGAAAGCUCCGGCGGAUAGAGAUGGGCACGCGCAAGAUUAGCUAGUUGGUGAGGUAACGGCUCACCAAGGCGAUGAUCUUUAGGGGGCCUGAGAGGGUGAUCCCCCACACUGGUACUGAGACACGGACCAGACUCCUACGGGAGGCAGCAGUGAGGAAUAUUGGUCAAUGGGUGCAAGCCUGAACCAGCCAUCCCGCGUGAAGGACGACUGCCCUAUGGGUUGUAAACUUCUUUUGUAUAGGGAUAAACCUACCCUCGAGAGGGUAGCUGAAGGUACUAGACGAAUAAGCACCGGCUAACUACGUG